rnacentral:rRNA from 1 species
CAGCAGCCGCGGUAAGACAGAGGAUGCAAGCGUUAUCCGGAUUUAUUGGGUUUAAAGGGUGCGUAGGUGGACUGUUAAGUCAGUGGUGAAAGUUUGUCGCUCAACGAUAAAAUUGCCGUUGAAACUGGUGGUCUUGAGUAUGGAUGAAGUAGGCGGAAUGCGUGGUGUAGCGGUGAAAUGCAUAGAGAUCACGCAGAACUCCGAUUGCGAAGGCAGCUUACUAAGGCAUAACUGACACUGAAGCACGAAAGCGUGGGUAUCAAACAGGAUUAGAUACCCGAGUAGUCCCUGUCUCUUAUAA